rnacentral:rRNA from 1 species
UUCAGAGGUCCCGAGCGUUGUUCGGAUUUACUGGGCGUAAAGGGAGCGUAGGCGGACUUUUAAGUGAGAUGUGAAAUACCCGGGCUCAACUUGGGUGCUGCAUUUCAAACUGGAAGUCUAGAGUGCAGGAGAGGAGAAUGGAAUUCCUAGUGUAGCGGUGAAAUGCGUAGAGAUUAGGAAGAACACCAGUGGCGAAGGCGAUUCUCUGGACUGUAACUGACGCUGAGGCUCGAAAGCGUGGGGAGCAAACAGGAUUAGAUACCCCCGUAGUCCCU